AUGAACGCUGGCGGCGUGCCUAAUACAUGCAAGUCGAGCGAACGGACGAGAAGCUUGCUUUUCUGAUGUUAGCGGCGGACGGGUGAGUAACACGUGGAUAACCUACCUAUAAGACUGGGAUAACUUCGGGAAACCGGAGCUAAUACCGGAUAAUAUUUUGAACCGCAUGGUUCAAAAGUGAAAGACGGUCUUGCUGUCACUUAUAGAUGGAUCCGCGCUGCAUUAGCUAGUUGGUAAGGUAACGGCUUACCAAGGCAACGAUGCAUAGCCGACCUGAGAGGGUGAUCGGCCACACUGGAACUGAGACACGGUCCAGACUCCUACAGGAGGCAGCAGUAGGGAAUCUUCCGCAAUGGGCGAAAGCCUGACGGAGCAACGCCGCGUGAGUGAUGAAGGUCUUCGGAUCGUAAAACUCUGUUAUUAGGGAAGAACAUAUGUGUAAGUAACUGUGCACAUCUUGACGGUACCUAAUCAGAAAGCCACGGCUAACUACGUG
rnacentral:rRNA from 1 species